ACCGGCGAACGGGUGCGUAACACGUGAGCGACCUACCGAUGCGCGGGGGAUAGCCGGCCCAACGGCCGGGUAAUACCGCAUACGCCAGUCGGGCCGCAUGGCCUGACUGGGAAACCUCCCGGGCGGAUCGAGGGGCUCGCGGCCUAUCAGCUAGUUGGCGGGGUAACGGCCCACCAAGGCGACGACGGGUAGCUGGUCUGAGAGGAUGGCCAGCCACAUUGGGACUGAGAAACGGCCCAGACUCCUACGGGAGGCAGCAGUGGGGAAUAUUGCACAAUGGCCGCAAGGCUGACGCAGCGACGCCGCGUGUGGGAUGACGCCCUUCGGGGUGUAAACCACUGUUGCUCGGGACGAACGAGGAGAUUCAUCUCCUGUGACGGUACCGGGUGAGGAAGCACCGGCUAACUCCGUGCCAGCAGCCGCGGUAAUACGGAGGGUGCGAGCGUUGUCCGGAAUCACUGGGCGUAAGGGCGCGUAGGCGGCUUGGUAAGGGGGCGGUGAAAGCCCGGGGCUCAACCCCGGGUCUGCCGGACC
rnacentral:rRNA from 1 species